rnacentral:rRNA from 1 species
UACGGGGGGGGCAAGCGUUGUUCGGAAUUACUGGGCGUAAAGGGCUCGUAGGCGGCCAACUAAGUCAGACGUGAAAUCCCUCGGCUUAACCGGGGAACUGCGUCUGAUACUGGAUGGCUUGAGCUUGGGAGAGGGAUGCGGAAUUCCUGGUGUAGCGGUGAAAUGCGCAGAUAUCAGGAAGAACACCCGUGGCGAAAGCGGCUCUCUGGAACGGUACUGACGCUGAGACGCGAAAGCGUGGGGAGCGAACAGG